AAAAAUAAGUUUAAAUUAUUGGCAGUAUCGGAACUAGCAAAACGUGUUUUCAAAAUUUUUGCAGUGCGCAAAGUACUGAAUAUUUAAUUUUUAGGAGCAUGUUAUCCUACAUACAUACGUUCUUAAAAAUAUAUUUUUAUAUCAUUUUCGUUUUGUUGCUAAUAUAUGUAAAAUUGUAAAUUGUUAAACGGUAUAGUGUUGAUUCAGAAAAUAAGUUGGUGAAGUUAGCAUUUCCCAUACUUGUAUAUGACGUUUGCGUAUUAAAGAAUACCGUAAAUAAAAUUUUGUGAAGUGCACAUAUCAAAUUGCAACUCCAUCUCAUGUGGCACAACCAAUCACUAACCGCAUUUUUAAGCAUUAUGAACCGACAUAUGGCAUUUUUGCAAGAAACCUGCUUUGAUGAAAAGUGAAUCACUUACGAAAACUUCAAGUGGAAAUACUCGUGGUCGAAUCGUGGAGAGCCGGCGCAAACGGAGACCAAUAUAGGAUUAACCUUCAGGAAGGUUUUGCUAUGUGUAUGGCGGGAUCGGCUGGAAAUCAUCUACUAUAAGCCACUUCCUACGGCCGAGCUCUUAAUUUGGAGCUAGGUACUGCUAGGUGUUGGAUCGUCUGAAGAAAGCAAUCACCCAGAUACGGAUAGCUUUUAAAAUACGAGAGAAAUUGAGUUCCAUCAGAACAACGGGAGCCCACACACAUCUAUAUUAAAUCGUCGGAACCUUCUAGGUUGUGAGGUUCUUAUGCAUCCACCUUAAAAUUCGGACCUGCCACCAAAUUAUUACUAUCUGUUUUUGUCUAUGACGCAUGACUUUGCUAAAAAUUCGCAUCAAGAGAAGCUUUCAAAAAUCAGUUUUUUACCAAUCGGGACUAGGAAUUUUAGUGAAAAAAAUAUUUUGUCCAAAAUUCCACAAAUUUAUCAAUUUAUCCAACUGCCCUCGUAUGUAAAUACAUAUUAACAAGUAGGGAUUUUAUAUACAUACAUUUGCAUAUUAAGAUGCUCAAGAAAAUCGAAUCAAGUGCAACAACAAAACGGAUAAUCACAGAAUUAAGUGCGGAGUAGUAGUGGAUAUACAAAGGAAACGCAGCAAAGAAAGAUAUGCACAUACUACUUAUAAACGCUUCCAACAAGUUUGUAUAGAUAUAUGAAAGGGCCACCAACGCAUUUCACAAUAACAACAAAGCAAGAAAAACGCACUUAGACUCGGACAUUGGGUCGGAUGAAGUGAAUAUAAAGCGGCGCUUUUGUGCUGUCUCUUCGGUUACCGCUUUCAUAUCAGUGUGUU